rnacentral:rRNA from 1 species
CCUACGGGAGGCAGCAGUGGGGGAUAUUGCACAAUGGGGGAAACCCUGAUGCAGCGACGCCGCGUGAGUGAAGAAGUAUUUCGGUAUGUAAAGCUCUAUCAGCAGGGAAGAAAAUGACAGUAACUGAAAAAGAAGCCCCGGCUAACUAAGUGCCAGCAGCCGCGGGAAUACGUAGGGGGCAAGCGUUAGCCGGAAUUACUGGGUGUAAAGGGAGCGGAGGCGGGUAUGUAAGUCUGGAGUGAAAGCCACGGGCUCAACCCCGGGACUGCAUUGGAAACUGUGUAACUUGAGUACAGGAGGGGUAGGCGGAAUUCCUGGUGUAGCGGUGAAAUGCGUAGAUAUCAGGAGGAACACCGGCGGCGAAGGCGGCCUGCUGGACUGAAACUGACGUUGAGGCUCGAAAGCGUGGGGAGCAAACAGGAUUAGAUACCCCAGUAGUC